rnacentral:lncRNA from 1 species
GUAACUCUCAGUUAAAACAUCAGAGUACAUGACUUUCAAAAAAACCAAUGGCAGGUAAUGACUAUUUUGCCCUUCAACUUCUUUCACCCAACAUAUUAUAUUUAUUGCGAUUUCAUCUUGUAGAGAAAGAUGUGGUGUGAAAAUGGCCAUACAAUUCAAAGUAUUUAAAAUUUUUGUUUUUUUUUCUUUAAAAAAAAUUUAAAUAAUUUUUUUUAAUGGUAAGGAUUGACAGGUCAUUGUCAUUCCAUGAGGGUGAUGACAAUCCAUACAUUCGCCUUUUGCAUGAUAUAUUGUUGGCUUACUCUCUUCAACAACUUUGAUCUUGGUUAUUGCCAGGUCACAUACAUGUCCCUAUUAUUUACAGAGUAAAUUACAAUUUUGUCCCUAGAUGUUUCAUUUGUUGCACAAGUGGUCUAUCAAGUAUAGCUUUGUUGGAAGAUUAGUCCCUAAUUUGACAGAGUUGAAUUUGUUCCAAAUUUUGAUUUUGGUUAUCAGUUAUAGCAUUAUACUUUUAUUUUGUUUUUCCUACAUGGACAUUGUACUUUGAAAAUCUAAACACUUAAAAACAUAGUACUCUAAACUUAAAGAUAUUUUUCUUUUAUUUGUGUUUUUGUAUUAGUUAAUUAAUUUUUCAUAUAUUGCAUUAUAAAAUUUACCAUAUUAAGACUCUGUAUUGUGCAAAUUGAUCACUUUGACAUUUCAGUUGCUGAGAAUUUCUUCUGAGAGUGGUAUGAUGUGAUGGGUGAUCAUUUCUUAUUGAUUGCAUUGAUAAGAUUCUUACUGAAAUGAUGCGACAACCUUCUAGCACUCAUAUUAUUGACUGGUAAUAUAGGUGGUUGGAGGGCUACAUGAGCUAAUGACAUUCUCUUCUAUCAGCAACUUGGUUUAAGCUAAGCUCGUAUCAUUUUCGAAACUUAUUACUCAGGUAACUUCAAAUCCUUUUGUUGAAUCACAAUUUAGUGUUUGAAUUUUCGCUAACUUUUUCUCUUUAUUAUACUUAAACAUCUCUAGUAACAUGAGUUUAGUUAAUCUUUCAUGAUUUCUGGCAUUUGAUUACUGAUUUAUUUGCAUAUGAAUUGGUGCUUUUUAGGGUAGUCACAACCAUCACCAUUUUCGUCCACCAAAACCAGAUGAUGUUGCUACAACUGGGACAUGAAAGGUUUCUACUUUUUAUUCACUUAUGCUUUUUCUUUACAGGUAUACCAAAGUUGAAUUUUUUCUUUCUUCUUAUUCUUUUCCCUACAUAGUAAGGGGGAUGUAGCAGUUUCCUAUGAAAACCUGAUUGCAAUAGUUGCUGUUGGAAGUCUUGAAAUUAACUUUAAUCCAUUGGAUGUGUAAGUAUGAGCAGUCUCAAAUUGGUUUAUAAAAUGCCAAUUGUUUCACCAUUAUUUUGUUCUAAUGCUGCCUAUGCUCAUUUCAGUUAUGCAUAUCUUAUCCUCCUUUGGCACACAUCAGAUAUAUAAAAGGUCCAACCAGAUCGUGUUGAUGUGUACUUUGGUGCCUCAUUUGAAAAUAUCAAGGAGUAAGAAACUUCAAGUUAAGGUUCUUUUUCCAUAUUAAGUUUGACUUUUUUGGUGACUUGAAAUGCUCUAAUUUGGCAGAUUUUUCAAAGUGUAAUGCUAUAUUAGGAAAAAAAUGAAAGUAGAUUGCUAUUUCUUGCAUUUAAAGCAAUAUUGAUGUUUAUUAUCCGUGUUUCAGAAGUAAUGCUUGUGCAUGUUCCUGGGAUCAACUAUACAGCUGAGUUCUCUUUCUCUUCUGAUUGGGUAUCACCCUGUAUUCUUCAUCAGCAGUUUGUUUUUUUUCUGAAAAAUCUGAUUUUCAAACUGCACCAGUUUUGUUGCUACAUAAAAAUAGAAGGGAAGUUAUUCAGAAGACAGACAUUAGUCAGGGGUUUUUUUGGUAGCAUUUAACAAUUUUAGAUAGUACAAUUUCAUUAUGAUGUUUGGCAUUCCAUAAAAUAUUACAUGCAUUAUAAUGGAACAAAUUAACGCCAUAGGAACCAAAUUCAUAUAAAAAUUAGAGUUCAAUAUUGGUUCAUUAUAUUUUAGUCUGCCCUUUUCCUUUAUAGAUUUUCAUCCAGGUUCUUGGAUCUGUACUUUAAAUUUAUUACCACAUCUGAUGUGUUAGCAUAACCAACUGAUUUGAGGAAAAAAAGUUUAUAUUAGGUUGUUUAUUGUUCCUUAUAUAAGGCACAUAACCCUUUUUUUUCUUUUUUCAAUAAGUGCUGCAUUGAUAAAGUGCUACCUGGUUAACGAUGUCUUAAGGUUUCUGGAAUUUGUGACUAUAUCUAUGUUCUACUUGAUAAAAAAUGCUUUCAUAUGGUGUUUAAUUCAAUCAAUCUAUUAAAUUUCACUUAAAUUAAAAGUUAUUGAUGUGAAUAUCAUAAUUAGGCUUUUCUCUCAUAUAAUUGUUACUCUUUCAUGACAAAAUUAUUUUUCAUUUAUUUUGGCAGUUUGAUAAAUUAUCGCUAAAGCAUCCUUUGGUGGUUGAAGAGGAACACACAUUUGUUUUUAAUUUUUUUUUGGGUAAAUUUUAGAAAAAAGCCACAUGCCUAAUUCUUUUUUUACCAAUAUAGGAAGUAUACUUUAUUUUUACUGACAGAUAGCAAUGUGUAACCCAUAAUACCAUACUUACAAUUCUGCACUCUUUUUGGCAAUAUUCUUAUAUCUUUUAAUGAAUAAUAGCAAGAUAUUGCUAUAUAUGUUAUACAAUGACAGGUCAUUGUCGUUCGAUGAGGGUGAUGAUAAUCCAAACAUUCACCUUUUGCAUGAUAUAUUGUUGGC